rnacentral:tRNA from 1 species
GUGGCUCAGUGGUAGAAGCACUUGCCUGGCAUACAAGGCCCUGGGUUCAAUUCCCAGC